rnacentral:rRNA from 1 species
GACGAACGCUGGCGGCGUGCUUAACACAUGCAAGUCGAACGGUAAGGCCCUUCGGGGUACACGAGUGGCGAACGGGUGAGUAACACGUGGGUGAUCUGCCCUGCACUUCGGGAUAAGCCUGGGAAACUGGGUCUAAUACCGGAUAGGACCACUGCCUACAUGGGUGGUGGUGGAAAGCUUUUGCGGUGUGGGAUGGGCCCGCGGCCUAUCAGCUUGUUGGUGGGGUGAUGGCCUACCGAGGCGACGACGGGUAGCCGGCCUGAGAGGGUGACCGACCACACUGGGACUGAGAUACGGCCCAGACUCCUACGGGAGGCAGCAGUGGGGAACAUUGCACAAUGGGCGCAAGCCUGAUGCAGCGACGCCGCGUGAGGGAUGACGGCCUUCGGGUUGUAAACCUCUUUCAGCACCGACGAAGCGCAAGUGACGGUAGGUGCAGAAGAAGGACCGGCCAACUACGUGCCAGCAGCCGCCGUAA